rnacentral:lncRNA from 1 species
GCCUGAUCUCGUUUAGCAGGGCAGGAGCCUGUGUUCCCAUUUCUUACUAGCUGGGCUGCCGAUGACCUAGCUCAGCCUUGGUUUUCCUCCGGUUGAACAAAAGCUGGCAAGAGCUGCCUCCCGGAUCGCAGUGAGGACUCUAAGGGAACGAGGGCGAACGCGCUUUGGAAAGCCAGUUGCUGAGCAGAUGAAGUCUGGAGAACUGACCCAAGAAGAAGGACCAACAAUUCAGGCUCAGGAAAGCCCACAAUUCCACAGGGGAACCAGGACUGCAUGGCUUCGAAUCCCAGCCCUCCCCACUCAGGAAACAUUGCUCCCCAAACGGCACGGAUUUCUGGACGCCUCCACCUUAAGACAGCUACUUCAGCCAGAACGUGGGACAGGCACUAACGGGAUAUCACCCUUGGGGAUAAACACGCUCCAGUUUCCUGUGGACGGUGGAAGAGGAAAGAACAGGAGAAGCUGCCAAAGGGAUGGGGUGUAGGAAGCUCAUCCUUGCACGUUUAGACUAGGGAAGAAGAGAAUAUUAGGGAUGGGGGAGGGGGGAGGAUGGGAAGUGUAGUUUUUCCCCUUCCUUCCUUUCAUUUCAGAUCCCAUUUAGUGCUUUUAUUUCUUUAAUUUUGAAAACUAUUUCCCUUUCCUGAAUCUGGAUGCGGGCAGGGAGCGAACUCAAGGAAAUGAUGAGCAUGGAUGAGAGCCAGGGGACAGGAGAUAUGUCCUGGGAACUCAAACUCUGCUGCUUCGCCACUGUCUCCGAGAUGCCCUGAGCCUUAGCCCAAUGUAAAGGGAGCUGAUUGGGUGUAUGGGC